rnacentral:tRNA from 1 species
GCCUUCGUGGCAAAAUUGGUAGCACACUCGGCACGUAUUCGAGAGGUCUAGGUUCGAGUCCCGGCGAGGGCA